UUUUUUUUUUUUUUUUUUUUGAGGCAAGUUCUCUCAUUGAUCCUGGAGCUCACUCAUCCGGCUAGCUAGUCAGAGAGCCCCUCUGACCCUCAUGUUUGUGCUGCGUAGUGCUAGGAUUUCAGAUGAAGGCUACUGUAUCCAGUUUCAAAUGUGGGUGCUAGAGAUUUAAACUUAGGUCAUCAUGCUGUUUGUGGGAAACACUUUAUUAACUGAGCCAUCUUCCCAACACCCCACCCACAGAUUAUGAAUAGACACAAUAUGCUAUUAUCUAUCAUAUAUUAAUAUAUCAAUGUAAACAACCAAUAAAGAGGCUAAACCCUCUUUUACAAGCUACAAGUCAUCUGAAAAUUCUUUGGGGAGUGAUCAUACCUAACUAGACUCAAAGCUGGCAGAAUUAAUACUAGGUAGCCCUACCCUACAGUCUGCCUGUGCACAAACACAGCCAUUCUUGCACGUUUCCUUUCUAUCAGCCCAGGUUCAUGGUUGUAUGCCUGAAGAAAUCAGAUAUCCUCACACUUUACAUCUGAUAUUGAUGGCUGCUUCUAGCUAGGCUAAAGUACCAAGUUUUUACAAAUUUUCACACUUACCACUUUUGUUGUGUCUAUUACGAGUUUAUCAUCAUCAUUACUCUGUGUGUGUGUGUGUGUGCAUGUGUGCCUUGGCACUUGUAUGGAGAUUACAGAAUAUCUUCCAAAAGUCAGUUCUCUUUCUACCAUGAGUGCCAAGGACCAAACUCAAGUGGUUAACAAGGUGCAAAGCGUUUCUUUACCCAGUGAGCUAUCUCCCCAGUUCAACCUGUUUAUUUUAAUGGAUUUUUUUUUUGCUUCCUCCCUGCCAGUUCUGGAAUUAUGAGUUAAUGCAGGCCCAUUAGUUGUUCCUAAUGUCAGAGAAUUCCCAGCAGUUCUCCCACUGACCCCUUAGGACACCAUUGUAAAUUCCCAAAUGUUCCCAGUACUCUAUAGAAUUUUAUUCUGUCACUUCCUUCCUUUGACCAUUCCCUUAGGUUUCUGUCAAUGCAUAUCAAUUCUUGGCUGAAAGCUCCAUUGAUUGAAUAGAGGAGGGAAAGGUCUAGAACGCUGCAUGUAGUUAAAACUCAUUAAUUGCAGAAUGAAUAUGAUGCGAAAUAGAGCAACCUAGCAUGUGUGAGAUGGAAUGCAAAAAAAAAAAAAAGGAGAGCUUGAGUGAGUAAUGGGUGACUAAGCCAAAACUGGACGUUUAUGAAUACUAUCAUAGCUACUUUUCCUUUGAUGGUGAUAAAAUUCAACCUAACAAAAGCAAUUUAAGGAAGGAAAAGGAGGAGGGGUGAGGCUUUGUUUAUGCUAGCUUACUGUGUACAGUCAUAGCGGGGAACAAGCUUAAUGCAGUUGGUCAAUUCAAACCAGAGUCAUGAUAGCAGAGAACAGGGAAUGCUUAUGGUCAUCUUGCUUUCUUUAUCGAGUAGAAUCCAGAAUCCUCACCUAGGGAGUGGUGCCACCCACAGUAGGCAAGUUUCACACCUCAGUUAACUGAAUAGAGAUACUUGCUAGAGGCAUGAAGCUGAAAGAAGUUCCUUGUUGAAACCUAGUGCAAGGCUAAAAUCGGGUUAGGAAAGCACCGGAUUUCUUUGUCUUUUAUGUUUUCCCCACAUGGUGUUAUUGAACCUGUCCUCUAUACCCGACCUUCUCCAUACCCAAAGCAAGAAACCAGUGUUGUUUCUGCAUCAGUCAACGUGCCCUGUGUGACAAGGCCAGUGGAAUGAGACUCAGUAUAUUGAGUGGCAGGUCCCCAAGGAAUGCCACUGGGGUGCCCUCCCUCUGACCUGUUUGAAACUGAAUGUUCACUUUGGAAAUAGUUGCUGCUUGGACAAGACUUUCAUCCUUACCUUUUUUAAGCAACUUUUUUUCCUUGACAUAAAUGGAGACUUCUCCUGUGCAUAUAUGCAUGUCUACAAGUACAUUGUCUAUUUCUUUCAUAUGUUUCUUGUCACUGCAUGGCAAGGCCUUAACCUUUGGAUGCAGAUUUUUGAAUCUUAAUGAAUUCAUCAUGAGCUGUGAAAAGGUGUUUGUCAGGAUUAUUAUCCAGGAGAUAAUAACUGCUAUCUCGAGUACUUACUGGUUGGUCACAGCAUUUUAACACUGCUUUUGUUUCUGUUCUGGUGCUAUGAUCCAAUACUCAGAACAAAAGCAACCUAGAAAAGGGAAGAGUUUAUUUCUGCUUAUAAUUCCAGGUCACGGUCUGUUAAUGCAGGAAGGCAAGUCAGGAAACUGAAGGUAGGCCUUCUUGCUGAUUCGUUCAGCAUUGUCACUGACCAAGCACCAAGGAACUCACUUCACAGAGAGAAAGUUGAGCAGGAGUCAUGGAGGAUGCUGUUUUCUGGCUCACUUGCCAGCGUAUGAUUGGUGAUUCAAAACCACUUAACUAGUCAGUGGUGCCACCCACAGUGGGAUGUGCCCUUUCAUAUCAAAUACCAGUCAAGAUAACCCCCUACAAUCAUGCCCAUCUGAUGUAGACAUUUCCUUAAUUGAAGCUCUCCUCUCAGAUCCUCUAGGCUGGGCCAAGUUGACAAUUAAAGCUAACGAAGACAGACAUUUUGUAUAUCAAGUGAAGGCAUCUGAAGAAUCCAUGGUUGUAGUUUCCUGAGAAUUUACAGAAACAAAAGCAGAGAAGUGAGAUGUCAAGGUGCAACCCUGCACCUCAUAGUAUGUAGACUAGAGAGAACCAGAUAGGGGAAGGAAAGGGUGAAAUGUCGCUUCGGGAUGUUUAGCUAUGACAGUGCUAGAUUCAGAACCACAAGGACUUAUAGCAGUAACAUCUUAAAGACAGUAAUUGUGGGGUGGAGAGGUGGCUCAGAGGUUGGGAACACCUGUUCUGUAGGACCGGAAUUCAGUUUCCAACACCCAUGAGGGGUAGCUCACACCUGCCUGUAAUUCCAGUUCCAAGGAAUCUACAGCCCUCUUCUGGUCUGUGCAGGCACUGCCCUCACAUCCACAUAGU
rnacentral:lncRNA from 1 species